ACUCCUACGGGGAGGCACAGUGGGGAAUAUUGCACAAUGGGCGCAAGCCUGAUGCAGCCAUGCCGCGUGUAUGAAGAAGGCCUUCGGGUUGUAAAGUACUUUCAGCAGUGAGGAAGGUGGGUAUGUAAUAGCAUAUUCAUUUGACGUUAGCUGCAGAAGAAGCACCGGCUAACUCCGUGCCAGCAGCCGCGGUAAUACGGAGGGUGCGAGCGUUAAUCGGAAUUACUGGGCGUAAAGCGCAUGCAGGUGGUUUGUUAAGUCAGAUGUGAAAGCCCGGGGCUCAACCUCGGAAUUGCAUUUGAAACUGGCAAACUAGAGUACUGUAGAGGGGGUAGAAUUUCAGGUGUAGCGGUGAAAUGCGUAGAGAUCUGAAGGAAUACCGGUGGCGAAGGCGGCCCCCUGGACAGAUACUGACACUCAGAUGCGAAAGCGUGGGGAGCAAACAGGAUUAGAUACCCUGGUAG
rnacentral:rRNA from 1 species